AAACGUUGACAUCUCCUCUGUUUACAGUCAUAUUUAGGUCCUAAUAUGGCGACGGUUGUAUGUUAACGCAGGGCUCAGGCUAUUCCAUGGAAGCGACUGGAACAGAUGAUCGCUGGGCUCUGUAGUAACGUUGUAGGUGUUUGUUUGGUGGCGUGUCGAUAAGCAGCGGUUAUAUUUACAGCACAGAAGCCGAAAGAGUCGGCGGAGAAUAGCUGCGGAUGUCCGCCUCAGUCAGUCGCGUGUUUGGACCAAAAUAAAUGAACCGAGAAGCGUCUUGUGAUGACUCUGAGGUGUAAACAAGCGAAGCAGCCGCCCUUCACCGACAGGCUUUGUCCAGAUAUCCAGCUGUUUUUUCCUCCUACCUUCACAGUGUUACUUUAACCAGACACUACUCACAUAUCAGCUUCUUGCAUGUGCUUUAAUGGUUAUGUUUUUUGCCAUAACGGUUACUGUGCACCUUGAGGGACCAACAGUCAUAUUUGUAAACCCACUGACACACACAGAAAUUCACAUCCCCACGUCUAAUAUUUCACUUUUUUGUGUUUUCUUAUAGGGUGAGGUAACAAAUAUGAGUGAUGAUAAACCUUUCCAAUGUACUGCUCCUGGGUGUGGACAGAGAUUCACAAAUGAAGACCACUUGGCCGUCCACAAACACAAACAUGAGAUGACGUUGAAGUUUGGCCCAGCAAGGAAUGACAGUGUUAUCAUUGCUGACCAAACCCCUACACCCACCCGCUUUUUAAAGAACUGUGAGGAGGUUGGGCUCUUCAACGAACUCGCGAGUCCGUUCGACCACGACUUCAAAAAAGCAACCGAAGAUGACAUUAAAAAGUUGCCCCUGGAUUUGUCACCUCUCGCGACACCGAUCAUACGCAACAAAAUUGAGGAACCCACAACUAUAGAGGCACAUCGAGACAGUCCUCUGCCUCACCCCGAGUCUACUACGAAUGACGACAAGCCCGGUGUCUGGCACCUUCCCCGUGCUCUUACAGCUGCCUAAUGGCCAGACCAUGCCAGUUGCUAUACCUGCAUCAAUUACAAGCUCAAGUGUACAUAUUCCAACUACAAUCCCUCUUGUCAGACCUGUCACCGUAGUGCCUAACGUCCCCGGAAUCCCAGGACCUCCCUCGCCACAGCCUCAGCCCGCCCAAUCAGAAGCAAAG